GAACAUUACAAGCCUAAGGCCAAAAGCCUAUCCAGCUGAGACCAAAACAGCAGACUAUCCAAUCCAACCCUGAAUACAAAGCUUAUGAGCCUAAAAAAUAGAAACCCUAGACUAAAGCAUAUGACUUUUAAAGCAACAUUGACAACAUCACUCCAUUCGCUGCCGUCCAUCAUGGUUAUCGCACAGAAAUGACAAAAACGCAACACCUAUAGUUGAACCUCACCUUGAAGGAACAAGCCUUUUCAAGGCAAACAAUAGAAGGUCCUCAACUCAACCAAACCCAAGCCACUAAUUAAGGUCUGUUGGUGCUCUACUCCAAAUGGUUCAUGAAGAAAGAAAGAGGAGAAUGGCAGAGCCCAAAUGGUCUCUCAUUCUCUUGUAGCCAUAAAAGGUAGCCACAAUAUAUUAACACCUUAAGGAUAACCAUCCUCUCUUAGCAACUCCUUUAGCAACCAAAUCAUCUCCUGCAGGCCAAGAUUCAACCCCCAAGCUAGAUCAGACAACUACUUUGGCUUGGUUCAACCACACAAGCAUAUUUUCACAUCAUGAAGUCCUAGAUCUACACACAAAAACCACAAGAUAACCUCUGUGUUCAACCCAACUCAGAGGUGGUGGGGAGGGAGGAACUCACACUUUGGGCUAGGGGAAGGAGCUUUCACCAACUCAAAUGUGGCCGAGGACGGCCUCUAGUCGAUAAA
rnacentral:misc_RNA from 1 species